CUUGUUGCGACUUUUACCUGAUAAGAUAGGCGUUUGCCUCUGCCACAAAAUUAUGAGGCUGAGCUUGGGAUCUUCUGAAUUCUGCUUGUGCUCUUUGGUGCUUCUUGUAUUAUCUCCUGAGAAAUAAGUCAGUUCUCCAUGACUUUGAACUUAAAGCUAAUGGGGAUGAACAUCAACAUUCAACAUAGAUUCUGUUGACUGGAGCAUCAUAGAACUUUGGUAUUUGAUAUUACGAGCAAAAAUGAAGAAGAUGCUCAUUUUGGGACAUUGUUUGAGGGAAAAGCAUGGAAUAUGGAAUACAUACUAUCAUAUCUCCUUCAGAAAAGUUUUAAAAUGGCUUUCUGCACUAGUUACUUGGCAGUUGACAUGUGGACAUGGAAUACGCUUCGCCAGGAAACUCUCUUCAAUUGUAUUAGUCUCUCUGUCCUUCAAUUUUUACUCACCUGACCCAAAAAUAUGAGAUCUUUUUGGGGCAAAUGCUGCAGAACAUGAAAGGAUGUAUAGUAUUGUUUAUCAAUGGGUUUCUGAAGGUUAUUAUGAUUUAGGAUCUAACUGAUUUUCAUGAACUUAUCUGAGAUAUUAAAUUGGGAGACAUGCAAUAUGUUUUCAUAAACAAAGCUGGUACUACAUUCUCUCUACUGUGUGUGUUCUUAGCUGUUUCCAAUAAGUAGUUUAUUAGUAUUGUCGCUCUCCUUCUUCUAUUAAAGCUUGUCUCAUGCUUGCUUGUGACUGAUUCACCCUCCCCCUCGACGUUUUCGUAGCUUUAGUUGGAACUAGAAGAGUGAAAUAUUUAAGCACAAUCAGCAACAAUGGAAACUUUAUGAUUCCUAUUUCACCCUUUGAUGGCUCAUGGUUUUCACUAAAACUUAUCCAAAUAGUCUUACUUGUUUGUUAUGUGCUUUCUCGCAGACGGGCGCGGUCAGUCAUACUGACUUGCAUAUUUAUCUUUGGCUCUUGCCUCUAAGGCAUUCCUAUGAUUGCAAUUCUUUAGCUAAUUAUGAUAUAUGGGCCAAUCAUGUCUUGGAAAGAUGCUUCAUUUAUGCUUGACAAACAAGCUAGGAAUAAAAUUCUUCAAGUACCCGCUUUUUAUCACUGUUUGGAUUUACUGCAGCUAUCUUCACCAAAGCCGUAUGAUUCUCCACAUUAGAGAAAGAAGAAAGCAUUUAAGGUAUUGUUCGUUUGCUGUACUUGCAUUUCCUUUUACAAACCCCUUUAUGUGGAGUAAAGGCAUCAAAGAAUGGUAAAAUAAGACAAGGGGUAGGGUCAUUGAUAUAUGCUCUAACCUCAAACAAAGCCUCCUCCACACUCCUCCUCGUGGAGGGUGUAGGAGGUCAAUACUAUCGAACCGCUUCAUGUUUGUGAUCAAAUCUUAUUCUCGACGUUGUAAGUUGCUUUAUUUAUAUACUUAUAUUGUACAAAAUGAUUGUUAUUCUAUUUCCGAUAUUGGUUCCUAUUAGAUGAAGUGAAGCACAUCACUUGAAACUCUACUAGACCUACGAGCGAAGCCAGAAAAUAAAAGUUUUGCUUACCAUUAAACCACCAACUUUGCACUCUACUUUACUAGCAAUAUUAGCGUUAUAAAAUAAAAGAGCUUCAAGGGUUAGACUAAAACUACGGGACAUGAGAGUAGGCCGCAUGGUCAUAGGGGUCAAUCCACCAUGUGGCUUCGCCACUAACUAGACGGUUUGGACCCGAUGUGGUGGUUUAAUUGUGUCAUCCUAGAAGUCUUAGGAAGAUGAGGAAAGAACCAUCAUAGUCAAGAGCAAGACAAGGGUUUCGCCCAUGUCAUGUUGGGUACUGAAGAGAGCUGAACUUGAACACAAACAUGUAUUAAGAUGCUUAAAGAUUUCUCUACAUGUUGACCACCCAAGGGAGUAGCCUUGGCUGAAAAAGGUGAGAAAUGACCACGGAACUAUGUUCCUUGUAAAGAUAAUGGGGAAGACAAGUAUAAAGGGUAUUAUUAUUUUCUUCCAAAAUUCUCUGAGAAGUGAGAAUUAGAAUCUUAGAAUCAUGACUCAAAGUAGAGCCGGUGGGUUUUAUUCUCAAUUUUAGAAUUUUUUUAUAUUUAUUCUCUCAAUUUCAAACCACUAAAAAUGGGUGCGAACAUGUACUUUCAUCCUUUCCUUGUUUUUUUCUUUUAAUUGGAUUUCUUUUCUUUAAUAAACUUCUUUUCUAAUAAUGUUCAUGAUUGAUAGUGCAUAACAUCUAGUUCCUUAGUCCCUUUGAAAUAGCAUUAUUCUUUAGAAGUUGUUUUAUUGAUUUUUAGUUGUUAAAUAAGACAAUAAAACAAAUUGGUUAAAUGAAUUUGUGAAUGAUAUUAAAAGAGAGGAUAAAUUUUUAAAUGAAAUUAAGGGAAAAAUGUGAACACCCUUUUGAAAUAAAGAAAGGGAGCAAAGUAAGUGUAACAAAACAUAAAUAGAAUGAGUAACAAAAUAUAGCAAAAGUUAUUGAAUGAGCUAUGAGCUAUGAGUUAUGAGCAAUGAGGGUCGUCACAUCCUACAUUGUAGAGUACUAUGCUAGCUAAUAUAGAAGUAUUAAAAACGAUAAGAAUUCGGUCAUGGUAGAGUAUAUAAUAUAUAUUGGGUCAUUAACUAAAAAUACUCAUGAUUGAGGCUUUAAUUUAUGUUAUAUACUCUAUAAUUACUCUUGUGAGAGACCGUCUCUCAGUAAGACGACCUCAGAACAAGGAGUCUAUUAUGAUUUCCUUGUAGUUUGUAAAUAGUUUGAUGCAUUUCAUAGUGAACCCGUCUCAUACAACAACCUGAAUAUAUUCUGAAUAUAUUCUUUUAGAUAUAUGAUACAACUAUCAUUCUUCACCCUGAGUUUGGGAUCGGCAACCAACGCAGUUGCACUCACAGAUGAAACUAAUAGAAAAAAUAAUGGCCACUCAAUUUUUUUUUUUCAAAUUCUGAGGUCAUCGAUUUUCCUGCUUCUACUAAAAUUUCAUUAGAAUAGUAGGAAUAUUACUAGAACUUAAACAAAAAUAUUUUCCAAAAUUCACUAAAUAAUUAGUCACUUAUUCAUAACAUAAGGCACCCAUGCUUAUCAAGUAUUGAUUUUACUAAUUAAUUUAUUUUCUGGAUGUGUUCAUUUUAGACUUUAGGUCUUUUCAUUGUUUCAAUUUUUACAUUACUCUGAUUUUUAUCAAAAUGUACUCCUGUUUGAAAGAAAAAACUCAUCCAAGUUCAAUCUCAGUGACAUUAGAGGUCAUGUAGUUGCUAUUAGAAUUGAACUCCCAUGGAAAUUAAUAAUUUAGUAGGAAUGUGCGUAUAUUUUAGAAUUAAAUUUCGGUAUAAAUUAAUACUUUGGUAAGAAUUUGACUAUAUAUUGUGAGUACGUUUACUAUGAUUGAGCCAAAGAUGGUUUAAAUUAUCAUGAUAGUAAUAUGACUCAUUACGUUAAUCAUGAGGUGAAGUUGCAUACAUCGACUUCUCCAUACCCAUCCUUCGUGUGAGACUAAGCGGGACUUUAGAGAAUAUUAGAAUGAUCGAAUAAUUGUUUUAUUAUAAUUUCUUUUUAAACAAUCAAAAUUUUGUAAAUGAUAUCAUAUUUGUGAGGGCAUUUAUGGCUUCCUUGUGCUUUUGAUGAUUCUUAUUUCAUUUGAAUUUGAGCAGACUAAUUUGCAUUGAAAGUGAACGGAGGAUGUUUAAAUUAGAGUGAAAAAAGGUUGAUGAAUGAUGAGGUAAAUAGUAUUUUACAGGAUAAUCAUAGAGAAAAAGGGAGAGGAUAAAAAUUAUGUUGUAUUUCUUUUCAAAUGUUUUCAUUGUUGGAAUGAUAUAAUUUAUAAAACAACAUUAAUGUGAAUUAUGUUUACAUUUGAUCUUGACGGCUUGCUUUAUGGGUCAUCUAGUAUGAAGUCAACCAGUCCAAUACUAAUCUCUUGUGCUAUUUAGAGGCAAUUAUUAGAAAAUUUGAAAACAUUAAGAUAAAAAAUCAAAAGAACAAACGAAAUAAUACAACUUUCAAACUUAUUUUAAAAGUAAGCGUGAAAAUUCUAAACCCGAGGUAUAGAGCUGUUCGCAGUUACUAACUGUGAACAGCUCUUUGACUUUGUUUGACUUGUUCGCAGUUAGUAACUGCAAACAACUAUGUUACAAAAUUUUUUUCCCUAAGUUUUUAGUUAUUAUUUGUUGUAUUUGCAUUAGAGACAUUAGAAUAAGAAAUUACAAGUCAAUGUAUGUUUCAGGCGGGAUGAUUCAUCGCCAAAAUUCCGAACAUUCGUAAGUCAAAGCUUGGAG